rnacentral:misc_RNA from 1 species
AAGUCGUAACAAGGUUUCCGUAGGUGAACCUGCGGAAGGAUCAUUAGUGAAAAUACCCUUUGCAUAUGGGUUGCUUCAACCUGUAUCCACCUUUGUGAAUUGUUUUUUUUGUUACAUAGCCUUAAAGAGAAAUCUUUAGGCUUUUUAACAAGCUUGAAAUUUUUGUUUGGCUGAAACUUUUGGUUUACAAAACAAAUCAAAUACAACUUUCAACAACGGAUCUCUUGGCUCCU